rnacentral:tRNA from 1 species
UCCCUGAUGGUCCAGUGGUUGGGACUCUGCUUUCACUGCUGAGAGUCUGGGUUCAAUCCCUAGUCGGGGAA